GUGCCAGCCGCCGCGGUAAUACGGAGGAUGCGAGCGUUAUCCGGAAUCACUGGGUUUAAAGGGUGCGCAGGCGGAAUAAUAAGUCAGGGGUGAAAAUUCUCAGCUUAACUGAGGACUUGCCUUUGAUACUGUUAUUCUUGAGUGCAGUUGAAGUGGGCGGAAUAUAGCAUGUAGCGGUGAAAUGCAUAGAUAUGCUAUAGAACACCAAUUGCGAAGGCAGCUCACUAAACUGUAACUGACGCUGAGGCACGAAAGCUUGGAUAGCAAACAGGAUUAGAAACCCUGGUAGUCC
rnacentral:rRNA from 1 species